rnacentral:lncRNA from 1 species
UUGAAUCAAUAGUAAGUAAGAAGCUGGUUGUGGCACUUUCGGAAUAGAAUGCCCUCUUUACAAGGGAAAGGGAUUCAGCAACUAGAGCAACAGUUUGAUCCCCUUGGAUUGAAGAACAAAUGUCAGGGAGAGUCCCCUCAAGUCAAUCUCUGAUUAAGGGAAACCUUGAGAAGUACUUUCCCAAUAGCUAUCCUCAUAGGAAUGCCUGUUUGUAUGGUGAAAAUGGUCGAGAUAUCCGCAGCAUUCUAAGUGAAUGGAAAGUCUCUUGGGUGGUUCGAAUCCACGUCGUGGUAAAGCCAGGCUUUUAUCUAUUCGUAGAUGUCGGGGAAUUGGGUACUUCCCUUGACGAGGGAAACUAACGGGUACCAAUUCACCAAUCUCUAGCUUUCCUGAGCAGAAGCUCUUCCGGCCUGAUGCGUCGGUACAUAAUUGACCUGGGUUUCCGUUCGACUUACUUGGCGUUGAAGGAAGCUCAUUUGGAGGUGUGAGGACAUUUUUUUAUGAACAAUUUGCCUAAAUGACCAGUUCAGUUAAAGAAGGACUUUAGUUACAACCUAAUUUUUUUUCUUAGCCCCACUCUCGAGUAAUUGGCCCCAGUCUGCUUUAGCCCUCUGACUAGUACUUUUUUAUAUUAUGGGUUUGGAACAUAUUAGACAGGGGUUCUCGAGCUCGAGGAUGCUGCUUCAUCGCGCGGACUCGAGAACAAUCGGCUAGAAUUGCGAAAUCAUCCUAAACGAGCGCUAGUUCGGUCCACCCUUACCUGCCUCUUUAGGUUCCCUGGUUGCGAAUCUAAUCAUAGAAUGAAGGUCCGUUUGAAGAAGGGUUCGUGCUCUACCCUUCUGGAAUUCCCUAAAACGUCGUUUCGGGCUCCCACUGGCGCUAUUUAGCCCUUGAACCGCGACCCGCCCAAGUCCCCGAGGAGACUAUUCGCGGCAUUUUCUUUUCUGAGAACAUAAAAGGUAGGAAUUGAUGGAUUCCAUAGUUUUAUAUUCUAGUUUCCGGUUAUGUCUCCGAGCUGGAUUCUUUUUAUUUAAACCUA